rnacentral:rRNA from 1 species
CUGCUCCUACGGGAGGCAGCAGUGGGGGAUAUUGCACAAUGGGGGGAACCCUGAUGCAGCGACGCCGCGUGAACGAAGAAAUAUUUCGGUAUGUAAAGUUCUAUCAGCAGGGAAGAAAAUGACAGUACAUGACCAAGAAGCCCCGGCUAACUACGUGCCAGCAGCCGCGGUAAUACGUAGGGGGCGAGCGUUAUCAGGAUUCACUGGGCGUAAAGGGAGCGCAGGAGGCACGGCAAGUCCGGUGUGA